UUUGUUUAUGGCGUCAAGGAUGAGAACUAAUUUCUUGUGUUGAAAACAUCGAACUCGAUUACUGUGCAGCACCGAAUUAUAGGAGAAUGAAACAAAUAUAUGAGGCCAUUCUGCAGAAAAAAAAUCGUAGAGCAAAACGCCACUGAAAUGAUUAGGCCUACUGAUGAAACAUUUGAACAGCAAAGGAUGCCAUGCAGCAGAAGUGAAGAUUGGAUUGUAAAUCUGCUGUUGCAAAACAAGACUAGAAACAGAGGCAUUGCUUCGUCAAGUGGACAUGACCAUAUUUAUUGUGUGCCCAGUUGUUGAGAAACUGGGUUCUCUGCAAAAGAUGAGGAAAGCCCUCACACUGUAGUGGAGUCACACCAUCAAGUACAUGUUGCUGUGAAUAUUUGGGUUUGCAUAGUAGGCAACAACUUCAUUGGCCCAUAUCUUCCACCUGGCCAUGUGAAUGGCCACCUGUACUUGAGGUUUAUGCAAAGAGCUCUACCUGAGUUAUUGGAGAACAUAUUCUUGGCCGUUCAUGAGAGCACUUCAGUAUGGAUGUCUGCAGCCAUCUCUCAGUGCUGUAUUUCCUGGGUACUAGAUUGGAAGGGGUGGUCCUACUCCAUGGCCUGCAAGAUCACCUGACCUGUAUCCCCUUUAUUACACUCCUGGAAAUUGAAAAAAGAACACAUUGACACCGGUGUGUCAGACCCACCAUACUUGAUCCAACCGCGGUGUUGGCCGUC